UACGAAGGGUGCAAGCGUUACUCGGAAUUACUGGGCGUAAAGCGUGCGUAGGCGGUUUGUUAAGUCUGAUGUGAAAGUCCUGGGCUCAACCUGGGAAUUGCAUUGGAUACUGGCAGGCUAGAGUGCGGUAGAGGAUGGCGGAAUUCCCGGUGUAGCAGUGAAAUGCGUAGAGAUCGGGAGGAACAUCUGUGGCGAAGGCGGCCAUCUGGACCAGCACUGACACUGAGGCACGAAAGCGUGGGGAGCAAACAGG
rnacentral:rRNA from 1 species